UCAAGAGUGUGAACCGUUAGAGGCAAACGGGUGGACCCGCAAUACGUCGACCCGGGGGAUUCAACCAGGCCGUUGGGCACGGGACGCGCGGGGGUUUUGCUGAGCUGUAAAGCCAGUGCCUUCGCGUGGGUCUCCGGGCGGACUGGUGCACUUUCCUCGGGUCGAUUGCCACGACCGGCUCUCCGUGCGGCCAAAAGCCUGUCGCUGGGAAGGUGACCGACGGCCUCCGUGCCGGCGGUGUUAUAGCCCAGCUCGUUCGUUGUGCUCGUCGGAGGGCCGAGGAAGUGUUGCCGCCUCUCAAUCACCCUCCGGCCAUCCUUGCUCGUCACGACUGGGGUGGACUGCUUCGUCAGUGCUCUCCCGACCGCGAGCGUAGGAAGGGUUGGAACGGUGCGAGAAGCUUCGGGCCAGUGGCGAAUCGGUCGGUCCUCCACCCGACCCGUCUUGAAACACGGACCAAG
rnacentral:rRNA from 1 species